rnacentral:sRNA from 15 species
GUGAAGUUGAUCACAAACAAACAUAUACCCCUUUGUUUGACCGUGAAAAAUUUCUCCCAUCCCCUUUGUUCGUAAAGGAAAACCCCUUGUAACCUAGUUACAAGGGGUUU